UACGUAGGGUGCAAGCGUUGUCCGGAAUUAUUGGGCGUAAAGAGCUCGUAGGCGGUUUGUCGCGUCUGCUGUGAAAACGCGAGGCUCAACCUCGCGCCUGCAGUGGGUACGGGCAGACUAGAGUGCGGUAGGGGAGAUUGGAAUUCCUGGUGUAGCGGUGGAAUGCGCAGAUAUCAGGAGGAACACCGAUGGCGAAGGCAGAUCUCUGGGCCGAUACUGACGCUGAGGAGCGAAAGCGUGGGGAGCGAACAGG
rnacentral:rRNA from 1 species